rnacentral:rRNA from 1 species
UGGGGAAUAUUGCACAAUGGGCGCAAGCCUGAUGCAGCCAUGCCGCGUGUAUGAAGAAGGCCUUCGGGUUGUAAAGUACUUUCAGCGGGGAGGAAGGUGUUGUGGUUAAUAACCACAGCAAUUGACGUUACCCGCAGAAGAAGCACCGGCUAACUCCGUGCCAACAGCCGCGGUAAUACGGAGGGUGCAAGCGUUAAUCGGAAUUACUGGGCGUAAAGCGCACGCAGGCGGUCUGUCAAGUCGGAUGUGAAAUCCCCGGGCUCAACCUGGGAACUGCAUCCGAAACUGGCAGGCUUGAGUCUUGUAGAGGGGGGUAGAAUUCCAGGUGUAGCGGUGAAAUGCGUAGAGAUCUGGAGGAAUACCGGUGGCGAAGGCGGCCCCCUGGACAAAGACUGACGCUCAGGUGCGAAAGCGUGGGGAGCAAACA